ACCCACUUCUCAUCUGUUUGAAGCAGGCGGUUUGAAGCUAUAUUAGCCACUCUUAGCACAGUGGUUCUCAAAUUUCUUUCAAUAACGUACCUCUUUAUUAAAUAUCUUCUUCAGCCCC